GCGGGCACCGGCGCAGCCCCAGCCCCCCGCAUGGCGCCGAACGGCCGCGGCACCCGCAGCUCCCCACGGACCGGCCGGCGGGGCCGGGGGAGGAGGAGGAGGAGCUCCCGGCGCCGAGGAGGAGCCCCGGGCCGGGCCGGGCCGGGAGGAGCCCCCGCAGCCCCGGCCCCGCUCGGGCAGCCCCGGCUGCGCACAGGUGGCGUCCCGGGCUGGGCAGCCUCGGGAAAACUUCUGUGGCUUCGCCCGUUCCGGGGGAAUUGUGAUUGCUGGCUGGGGAAGGGGGAUUGCAGGUGUCCGGUAAAGUAUAAAUCGUAUCACGGCUCUCCUCCCGAUCCACAGCAGUGGCUCCAGGAGAGCCAAACCUGUGCUUUAUUCCUGAGGCACCCUUGCAGCGUCCAGCGGCAAUUAACAACCUGAUUCGUUGUCAGAGAUCUGGGGAUUAUUCCGUAUCUCUACUUUCUAAUGAAAUUUGUUUGUCGUCUGGGUGGAAGUUACUCUGUGUGGAUUUAAGGCAGUGAAUUAAAUCUUGGUGCCAGGGUUAGGGAGUCACCGGCAGCUCAAGGUCUGUCACACACUAAAAAGUGCAAACUAUUCCCAUCCCGUUUGCUGUUGUCCCCCGCGGGUGUGGAGACCAUGAUACUCCUGAGCUCUGGUUUCUCUUCCCUGCCGAGGCACUGCUCCUGGAUGGAAUUCCCUGCAGUGAUCUGCACCUCCGUGCAGAACGGUGACAGUCACCUCUAAGCUCAGUGGGGCAAGGGGUGUCUCUCCCUGUGAGCAUUGUGCACUUCACCCGGAGCACUGCGGGGUCUCAUUUCAGGCAAAGUCCUUUGUUGCCAUGGCAAUACAAAGGAAAAAUCUAUACUAUGGUAAUUUUAGAAAAAUACCUCCUUUUUUUCUAAACUAAAUUGGACUGUGGUUCAGAAUCGUGUGGGCACACAGAAACAGUCGUGCUGAUAUUCCUGAGCUGUAGCUGUUGAACAGCAGUUGUGUAGAGGGCUGUCAGCGAUGGGCUGUCAGCUUGGGCUGCUUCUCCCUGAUAUUGCAUAUGAUUUGUACUUGGCUUUGGAAAGGUUUCUUAGCAGGCUCUCAGCCUUUAUCUGCAGCAGAGAGGUGACCGGUUUUACUGAUCACAGUGCCAUGAACAAGAGUUUUGGCUUUUGUGCGACAGUCUGUAAUAAUCUCGUUGAUGAAAGUCUGUGUUUAAAAGUCUUUGCUGUCAAAGGGGAAGGACAUAUUAAGUAGGAUCUCCCAGGGAAUAAUCUGGGAACAGUUUUGGUUAGUUUUCUGUAGCAACUUGGGUGAUAGAACGGAGAGCACUUUUACUACAUUUGCAGUGAUUCCAGCAUGGAGUGCGAGGCUGAGAUUUAAAAUGACCCUGACACACUGCAGAGCCAGUCUGAACUCCACACACUGAAAUUCCAGGAGAAAAAAUUCUGUAGUAUGCCACAAGGAAGGGAUAUCUCGUGUCAGAUGAGGACUAUUAGUUAGGCAAGAACACUGCAGAGGAGAGAGAACCUCGGGACUGGAGUGGCUCGCAGCCUGAGCGGUGCUGCAGAACAGCCGUGCUGCUCCGAGCUCUGUAGCAGAAGGAUCAGCUGUAAGACAUCAGAGGGCGUUAUUUCUGUUCCAUUUAGCACCAGCCAGGCUUGGCUGGAGCACUCUAUCCAGUUUCAAGCAUUACACUCACUCUUAAAGAAAGAUGUAGGCAAACCAGAUAGGAGAAUAGCAACCGAAAGCGUAAGAGGCUUAGAAAUGUAAGCUGUGAGGAAAGCUGGAAUUUUUUAUUUGAUCUGGAAAGAAAACACAAUAUAAGGACAUGGCAACUGUCUUCAAACAUAUAAACACAUUUAUAAAGAUGACAGUAAACAGUUAUUCUGUGACCACAAAUGACGGGAUAAAAAGCAAUUUGCUAAAGUGCAUUAGGGAGGUUACUUUAGAUAUCAGGGAAAAAACAAACAAACAAGACAAAACGAUUAUCCUGCUAGUAGCUGAAAUCUCAGGAGGUUGUAAAUCUGUUCAGUGAAGAUUUAAAGAAAAGAUUAGACAAGCAGCUCUCAGGACUGGCUGUUGCAUGCCUGGGGCAGGGAAGACUCCCAGUCACCUUCACUUACCAGCCCACAUUUCAGUGAUUCCUGGCUGCCCAUCAGGUUACACUGAUCCUUCCAGGAAGAGGCAUAAAAAGAGAACUCAUUAUCACCCCCUAUGAUUAAUGCAGAUCUUUUUAACUAAAUCACCUCUGUGAUCAGGAUCUCGUUAUCAUCUGGAGACCAAGAGCACCUCAUGGAGACACACAGAGAGCAGAACUAUCCAUGGCAAGUAAGCAGUUUUCAAAUCCAGCUUUGAGCAAUAAUGACUGAAAAUUGUUAUUACUCGAUGGUCAGUGUAAAUAUAAAUGUCCUGCAAUUUGCUUGGGACUCACUGUAGAAUUCAUCACCUCAUUUGGACCCUUGCCUGGCAGAUUCAGUUGAGGUCAAGGAUUUCACAGACAUGAGGAGUCAGGUGUGAGAUCACUGGCUGUGGCCAAUAUUAAAUCUGUCCUGGCAAAUGGAGCUCUUCCCUCUUCAGGCAUGUCUGCCUGCAUCCUUCAUGAGCACGGAAUUCUUGUGGGAAGCAGAAGUGACACCUGCCCUUGAGGGUCCCAAGGAGUGCACUCUCAGUUUUCCUGCAGGGAUAACCUGACUGCAUGGUGGACUGGCCCAGGAUUCCCAGAGUAAAUUUACUGCUCUGUGCUCCUUGAGGAACUGGUACUGCCACAGAGAAAAAUUUCAAUCCCACUUUUAUUACUUUUACAGCCUGCGGCUGCUUUUCCUUCUGUUCCUUUGAUUGUUGAUGUUGAAAUCCUGUUCUAUGGGUUUCUCUGGCUUUUGCAGGUAAUUCCAUCAUCACUCUGCAGUCAGGAGCAGUGCUGCCAGCAAACAAGGUAUUCCAACUUCACAGCACCUUUCACCUUGCACUUCCCAAACAAAACAGGAGGCUAAAUUCCUCUCUUAUAAACAGAACUUAAAUAUCCACAUGGCUGAAAGGUGAGAAUUGUCCAAAACCAAGCUAUGACCAAGAAUUAUUCACAGAACUUAUUCAUCAGAAAAUUUCACCUAUUGAAUACAAUACCCAAAUGCUAUCUGCUUGAGAACUCUGUUUACAGAGACAGAAGCAAAAUUCUUUGAAGAAAUAAUGGAUGGCAAAUUAUUCACCUGGUCCUAGAAAACUUCAUGCUUUUGCCUUUUAAGGAUGCCAUGUGAGGUAUAUGCAAAGUGUUAGGCUGGAAGUGGAAAGUACAGACACUGCUGCAAAGAGGUUCAGAAAGGUCUCAGAAAAACCACAUGGCAAAGCCCAAGGUACCUUCUGCCAGCCAGAAGAAAUUGGUUAAAAGCCUCAGAAUUGCUGUUCCAAGUGUGUCUCAGAGCUCUUGGUGCUGCUGCCCUCAAGGACAUGGACCAGGUCCUGGUGUGUUUGGGUCUGGUGCCUUUUUCCAAGGAAUGCUAAAGAUUUCCUCACCUGCCUUGCUUGAGGUAAGGUAAUUUAAUCACUUUAUGCUUCCUUUGUUGCCACUUGAGACGCAUUUGAGCAAAUGUGGUUGCUCACCUUAAGGUAUGAGAAUAAAUUGUAUCUGUCUCCACUGGUGAAUCAGAGCCCAAUUCAGUGUAAAGGGAAUCCCAAGGAAUUCUGGCACUGCUGCUCACAUCUGGUCAGCAGGAUCCCACCUGGAAUCACAGAAGGUCUGCAGCAUGGAGGGGAUUACAUUUAGACAUCUUUCUGUCACCUUUAAUCAUUAAACAAACCCUCAGACGUUUGUGUUUGGAGAAAAGCUUUCCUUUAGCUUCUUUCCUUGUACAGUUUUCUGGGAGUUUUGUGCCCGUGCAUGGGCAGAACCAGGCUCUUCUCCUCUCCUGCCUCUGUUUGUCCUUGCUGCAAAUCCCCUGGGGGAGCUCCUGCACGAGCUCCUGCACGUUGUGUCGUGUUAGUCGUGGCACUGAGGGAGCGAGGAGUAACACAUCCCUCCUCCAUCUGCAGCCCUGGAGAUGUGCUGUUUAUGUUUGCAAGGUGGCCGAUGUGACUAAAAUUAAUUUACAAUCUCCUGAGAUUUUACUCCAGUACCUCGUGCUGCCAACCUCCCCCAUAUUCCCUCUGCAGAUCCUUGGCUGGAGAGUGUGUGCUGGUACCUGUGAGCUGCUGGGAAAUGUCUGAGUAGGAUCCGUUGGUGGGCAGGGCACCAGAACCAACAUAAACUCUUACUCUACAAAGAAACUGGGAAAUGAACAGGGAAUGAACAGAAAGAAGUCAGGAGCAUGGCUGGGCAGAAAACUCUUUUUAAUUUAAAAGAGUACAGAGGUGUGGAUGUGCUCAAACAGCCUUGCAGGGGUUUGGUUUGACCUUUGCAGCUUUUUUUUGCUCAGCUUAACGCUGUAUCUCAAGUGCCUGGCUGUGCAGCCCUCUGCUCCCAUCCAGAUUGCAUCCAACCCUGGAAAAUCCUGUAAGUGCAUGAGGGAGGAGAGGAAUCUCUGCAUGCAUACACUUUGCAUGUUUUGUAAAAUUCCUGCCUAAUCCGAAUGUGUGAUUACCUCCCUAGCAAAGGCUGAAGAGGAGAAUUACCUCCUGCAGGUGACUCUUGUGGCACUGGAUUCCUUUGCAGCUGAGGUGUACAACUGUAGCUAUGGCACAAAACAGAGAAUCAGCUUCAAACUAUCAACAUUCCGAAAUAUUUGGUAAAAUGCAGAACUUCAACUGUGUUUAAAUAAUUAAUUUCUAUCGUGUACCAACAAGACCAGUGAUAGUGUUUACAGGAGAGGAAGGUUCUUGGGCUGAAAUGAGUUUCAGGGAACUGCUGUAUUGAAACUAUCAGGGACAGUGGAUUAUUUAUCAUGGCUCUGGCAGACUUCCAAAAACACUGCACGUUUUUUUUUUCAGGUUACUGAACUGAAAGAACCUUGCAAGGAUAAGAGAAAUGUCUUCCCAAGCAUGUUCUUCAGCAGCAGUAUUGUUCAGCUUCAUGAGUAAGAAUGGACAGUCAAAUAAAGUGCAGCAGACCAAUUUAAUCGGAAAAUGGGCACUGGAACAUCAACUCAGUGUGUGGUGGAGAGAUACCAUCUCCUGUAUUUCGAGCUUGUCUACACCUCUGGGUCCAGAGCAGCAAACCUCCAGUGUCCUGCAUUGCACACUCAGCCUUGGUGCUGCAGGG